GAUGAACGCUAGCUACAGGCUUAACACAUGCAAGUCGAGGGGCAGCAUGAGAUCAGCUUGCUGAUUUUGAUGGCGACCGGCGCACGGGUGAGUAACACGUAUCCAACCUGCCCGCUACUCAGGGAUAGCCUUCUGAAAGGAAGAUUAAUACUUGAUAUAUCAUUAUAUCACAUGUUAUUAUGAUGAAAGAUUUAUCGGUAGCGGAUGGGGAUGCGUUCCAUUAGCUUGUUGGCGGGGUAACGGCCCACCAAGGCAUCGAUGGAUAGGGGUUCUGAGAGGAAGGUCCCCCACAUUGGAACUGAGACACGGUCCAA
rnacentral:rRNA from 1 species